UGGGGAAUUUUGGACAAUGGGGGAAACCCUGAUCCAGCCAUCCCGCGUGUGCGAUGAAGGCCUUCGGGUUGUAAAGCACUUUUGGCAGGAAAGAAACGUCAUGGGUUAAUACCCCGUGAAACUGACGGUACCUGCAGAAUAAGCACCGGCUAACUACGUGCCAGCAGCCGCGGUAAUACGUAGGGUGCAAGCGUUAAUCGGAAUUACUGGGCGUAAAGCGUGCGCAGGCGGUUCGGAAAGAAAGAUGUGAAAUCCCAGAGCUCAACUUUGGAACUGCAUUUUUAACUACCGGGCUAGAGUGUGUCAGAGGGAGGUGGAAUUCCGCGUGUAGCAGUGAAAUGCGUAGAUAUGCGGAGGAGCACCGAUGGCGAAGGCAGCCUCCUGGGAUAACACUGACGCUCAUGCACGAAAGCGUGGGGAGCAAACAGG
rnacentral:rRNA from 1 species